CUCCAAUAGCGUAUAUUAAAGUUGUUGCAGUUAAAAAGCUCGUAGUUGAAUUUCGGGAUCAAAUUGUCGGUCGUGCCUCGGUACGUACUGGUAUUAUUGGUUCCUCCCUUCUGACGAACCACGAUGUCAUUAAUUUGGUGCCAUGGGAAAUCAGGACUGUUACCUUGAAAAAAUUAGAGUGUUUAAAGCAGGCUCGCGCUUGAAUACAUUAGCAUGGAAUAAUGAAAUAGGACGUUUGAUUCUAUUUUGUUGGUUUCUAGGAUCGACGUAAUGAUUAAUAGGGAUAGUUGGGGGCAUUAGUAUUCAAUUGUCAGAGGUGAAAUUCUUGGAUUUAUUGAAGACUAACUAC
rnacentral:rRNA from 1 species